rnacentral:rRNA from 1 species
GACGAACGCUGGCGGCGUGCUCAACACAUGCAAGUCGAGCGGUAAGGCCCUUUCGGGGGUACACGAGCGGCGAACGGGUGAGUAACACGUGGGUGACCUGCCCUCAGCUCUGGGAUAAGCCUGGGAAACUGGGUCUAAUACCGGAUAUGACUCCAUGACGCAUGUUGUGGGGUGGAAAGCCUUGUGCGGCUGAGGAUGGGCCCGCGGCCUAUCAGCUUGUUGGUGGGGUGAUGGCCUACCAAGGCGACGACGGGUAGCCGGCCUGAGAGGGCGACCGGCCACACUGGGACUGAGACACGGCCCAGACUCCUACGGGAGGCAGCAGUGGGGAAUCUUGCGCAAUGGGCGAAAGCCUGACGCAGCGACGCCGCGUGAGGGAUGACGGCCUGG